rnacentral:rRNA from 1 species
UACGUAGGAGGCAAGCGUUGUCCGGAUUUACUGGGCGUAAAGCGCGCGCAGGCGGCAGUGCAAGUAAGGUGUGAAAUCUCCCUGCUCAACGGGGAGGGUGCAUUUUAGACUGCACAGCUAGAGGUCGGUAGAGGGGGGUGGAAUUGCUGGUGUAGCGGUGAAAUGUGUAGAGAUCAGCAGGAACACCCGUGGCGAAGGCGGCCCCCUGGGCCGUACCUGAGGCUGAGGCGCGAAGGCUAGGGGAGCGAACGGG